GAAGGAAAAUACAAUAACAGGAUUUCAGCGUGAAACUCAACUCCUCCACGGUUUAAAAGCCUGUAGCCAGACACAGAGCAGGAAGAGAUGAGAGUGACAGAGAGAGAGAGAGAGAGAGAGGGAUGCUCCAUCAAUAUGUAAUAAUACAGAUACGCAGUUGGAGAAGAACCGCGACGUGCAAAACGACUGGAAACGGUUCCGUGGGUGUUUCAGGACAUCGCUGAGGAUUCUGAGCCGGUGACGUGGGCGGUCCAGAAGGGAUGAUGAUGAUGAUGA